rnacentral:lncRNA from 1 species
UUUACUCUCUCUUCCUCCACACUCCCUCCCCUUUCCCGUCAUUCUCACCGUCGAUUAAAUUGACGCUGUCAAUCUUCGCUCCCUAAGUUUACUCCCGUCGGUGCCGCCGUCAUUGCCCAUGUCCUUCCAGCCGCCGUCGUUGCCCAAGACCACGCCCCCUGCAGUCGCCGGCCGUCAUCUUCGUUUCCAAUCGCUGCCACUGCGUUCAGCUAGACGCCGUCCACCAUCUAUGAAGCCCAGCCCUCAAAACUCUAGGUAUUAAUUUACCUAUUUAUGAGGUAAAUAGCAGGCACCUAUAUAUGCAAUUUUAAUGCCCCAACUUCCGCAACACUCUUUGGUCUAUAAAUCCGACAUUUUGUAUGAUAAUGUAAGAUUUGACUAAUUUUUAAUUUAGCUUUCAUAUUUCAGGAGGUGAAAUAAUUUGUAUUAGGUUGUCUUGUCUAAUAUGAGAAUCAUAUGCGAUGAUUAUUUGGUAAAAUCCUUUCAAAUGAUGGGUAUUUGGUAGAGUUUUAUUUGGUUCCCUCAAUGUUAGAUAAUUAUUUUUCUUAAUAUCCUUUCUAGGGAGGAUAUGAGAUGAAUAUAUGUUUAUGUUAACUUAUAUUCCCAUUGAUUCUCCUUUUGCUACCAGGUGUUUAUCUAAUGAAGAUUCAUUAAUCCGUGUUUGAAGCUGUACUGUAGCUCGGUCCUAUCAACGGUGCACUCUCCGCUACAGCAUUCGAGGACCCUCCAAUUCUCAACAACGGGAACCAGACAAUCUUUAAACGGUAAAAAAUUCAGGAAAAGCGCUGCCGAAGAAGGUAAUAGCUUCUUCAAAUUUACUGUUGAUUUUAAGCUAAAUGGAUGAUUUUUAUGACUUAAUUGGCUUUUUAUUUGCUACUUUUGGUGGUGUAAUUUUACACUUUUUAGACCUAAUUGUAUCUAUUUAGACCUAAUUUUGUGUGGGCUGGUGAAUAGUGUCUAGCGUAAAGCAAUUAUUGCCCGUUUUCUCCUGUUAUUAUGAAUUAAUCGUUUAAAUCAGAACAUGGGUUUGUCUUCAGUAUUUUUCGAUUAGAAUUAGGAAUCAAGCUGCAAAUUUUUUGUUUAAUGUAUCUCUGCUUCAAUAGUAGUGUUUUUCUGUGUUUUGAUGAGCUAUUUAUUAUAAGAUACUUUGUCAGAAAUUAUUGAUUUUUUUAUAUUGUGAUAUUAUGUGGUAGGGUGUGGAGAAUGAGAUUUCUGUGCAGAAAUUGGUCUAUAAAAUUAAAUAAGUAUAUUAAAUGAAUUAUAGUAGAACAAGAGUAUAUUUUCGUGAAAGUCAAUGUGCAAAAAGGUCAGUAUCGCCGAGCAAUAAGUAAUGAGUGUUGGGCUCGUUUCCAUCUCGGAGCGAGAAAAUGUCGGGGUUCCUCGAAAUAACGGAGUCCUCGAAGUUAUCGGGCAAACCCAAUUCUCUCCAGACCUUGAAAAUGGCAUGAAGGGGCAGCUUUUUGGUGAGGGACAUCGAUAGGAGCUUGACCAAUCGGGUUACUGCGAGGGGCGUGGAUUUGUUUAAGGCGUCGGAUUCUUGGCGGACGAUUAGGCGAGCGGCGGGUGUGAGUGUGCAGUAGGGUUGGAGGUUAACGGGGUGGGUGAAAAUGUGGAAGAUGUGAGGGUAGGUGCGGAGGAAGGCGGAGGGGCCGCGGUUGAGGUGGAGUUUCUGAGAGAGGCGGUGGAGGAACUCGAUGGAGAUGGAAGGUGGAGUAGAUUGGGAGGCGAGGAUUAGAUCUUGUAUGGAGAUUACUUUGAGGAGGUUCUUGUAUUUCUCCAUUAGCUUUUCGAAUGUGGCGUCUCUGGCUCUGAAGGUCUGUUCCUUAUGUAUACGUGUCUAUAUGUUGGUAACUUGUGACAAAAUCUCAUAACUUGUUGGUCUCUUGGUUGUGAUUUAUUGCAAAGUGUUUCGUAUUUGUUACAUAUGUUUGAUCAUGGUAUUUUGUAUUUGCAGGCCCAACAAAAUUAGUUCUGAGCUUAAUAUUAAAGAAAAAAUCCAUAAUGAACAAGGAUUAAAUUUCACAAACUAAUUUUUCUUUGCUUUUAACAUGUCUGUAAGAUUAUGGUUCUUGGUAAACAUUGUUUAAUUUAACAUCUUUUUGUUAUAUAUUCAACAGGGAUGUAUGCUAAGAUACAAUGCCGAUUACUGAUGCACUUCUUGGAUUUAUGAUGAAAUAGUGGCAAUUUAUCGUCGCUUUUUUUUCUUGAUACUCUAUCUGUCGGUAGAAGAAUUCCCCUGCUCAAGGUACGUACCUCACUAUUUAUAAGUUGCUUUCUUGAAUAGGAAGAAUUAUUUACUUGCUCUGCUUCAAGAUCUAAUUUCUAGGAGAACGUGAUUAGAAGUGGUAAUUUAAGCAUGUUACUUCUCUAUAAUGUGUGGAUAAUGAUUAUCCCCGUUCAUUUUUGUUUAAGCUUUAACUGUGUUUUUUUAAUAAUGAAAGAUGGUAAAAAUUUCGGUUUAUGAUUCUUCGUGUAAAUUAUAAAUUGGGUAUGAAUAACACGGUAAAUUUUAGGCAAUAGGCUUCGUUUUAUAUGCAUCAUUUGGUUUGAUAGCAGUUUCUUCAUGUUAGAUAGUAGUUGUUGAUGUUGAUCGAUGUAAUGGAUUAUACACUUCUUCUUUAUUUUAUUUUAUUUUAUUUAAUAUUGUGAACUUGUACUCGUUCGUAUUUAUACGUAAUUCUUAUAUACUUAAAUAUUUUUUUCAGGCACGCUUGGAAAUAGUUUAUGAUCAAGUGGAUAACUAAUGAUGAAUGGAUAAAAGAAUGUGGAUCAACUCCUUUAUGUAAUUCUACAAUAUUUUUCUUAAUUUUUGUAUUUUUUUUAACUUUAUUUGGAUGUAUUUGACCUUAAAUUACAAUUUUAAUGUGAUGUGUUAUUAUAU